rnacentral:rRNA from 1 species
UACGGGGGGAGCAAGCGUUGUUCGGAUUUACUGGGCGUAAAGGGCGCGUAGGCGGCCACCGCAAGUCGACUGUGAAAUCUCCGGGCUUAACCCGGAAAGGUCAGCCGAUACUGCGGGGCUAGAGUGCAGAAGGGGCAACUGGAAUUCUCGGUGUAGCGGUGAAAUGCGUAGAUAUCGGGAGGAACACCGGUGGCGAAGGCGGUUCUCUGGGCCUUACCUGACGCUGAGGAGCGAAAGCAUGGGGAGCGAACAGGG